UCCGAGUUGACCCCGGCAGUCUCCUAUGAGUCCCCACCACCACGUGCUGGCAACAUAGGACGAGGGUUGCGCUCGUUGCGGGACUUAACCCAACAUCUCACGACACGAGCUGACGACAGCCAUGCACCACCUGUACACGGCCCCAAAAAGGACCCCACAUCUCUGCAGGAUUUCCCGGCAUGUCAAACCCAGGUAAGGUUCUUCGCGUCGCUUCGAAUUAAUCCACAUGCUCCACCGCUUGUGCAGGCCCCCGUCAAUUCCUUUGAGUUUCGGUCUUGCGACCGUACUCCCCAGGCGGAGUGUUUCACGCGUUAGCUGGGCCCCUGAUCCACGUAGACCAAGGGCGAACACUCAUCGUUUACGGCGUGGACUAC
rnacentral:misc_RNA from 1 species